rnacentral:rRNA from 1 species
AGAGUUUGAUCCUGGCUCAGAGUGAACGCUGGCGGCAGGCCUAAUACAUGCAAGUCGAACGGCAGCACAGCAGAGCUUGCUCUGUGGGUGGCGAGUGGCGGACGGGUGAGGAAUACAUGGGAAUCUGCCCAGUCGUGGGGGAUAACGUAGGGAAACUUACGCUAAUACCGCAUGCGCCCUUCGGGGGAAAGCCGGGGACCUUCGGGCCUGGCGCGAUUGGAUGAGCCCAUGUCGGAUUAGCUAGUUGGCGGGGUAAUGGCCCACCAAGGCGACGAUCCGUAGCUGGUCUGAGAGGAUGAUCAGCCACACUGGAACUGAGACACGGUCCAGACUCCUACGGGAGGCAGCAGUAGGGAAUAUUGGACAAUGGGCGCAAGCCUGAUCCAGCCAUGCCGCGUGAGUGAAGAAGGCCCUCGGGUUGUAAAGCUCUUUUGUCCGGAAAGAAAAGCGCCGGGUUAAUACCCUAGUGUCCUGACGGUACCGGAAGAAUAAGCACCGGCUAACUUCGUG